CUCCCCGACCUUGGUAUAACCGCCACCUCGCCUCCCCUCCCCCUCACUUGCCGCGCAGGGCCCCCGCAAGCAGCUCGCCACCAUUCCCCUCGCUUGCCGUGCGGGGCCCUAGCCUGGCGCGGUGGCGCGGUUGGCUUUGCGCGGUGGGCGGGCUGUGGUGGAGCUGAGCCACGUCAAGGAGGGGCACCUGGGAAGCCCGCAGACACAGGAGCGGUGCAGAUGUAAUCCCUCACUGAGCGCCAAGUCCGCGCGACCGGAAGCAGCCAGCAGUAGAUGCGGUGGCACCCAAGAAGAGGUGAUUUGUCUGCGGGAGGACAACAGAGAGUGUGAAACUCAAGUGAGGGAGAGCUCGGCCGCUGUUGGUGAUGUCUCGGCCGACGACGGGCACAACUGGAGGAAGCGUGGCGCUGCAGGCUCCGGGGCGCGGAGCGCGGAAGGGCUAGGUGUUAGAACUUUAAGAGCGCAGGGGGAAUAGAUCCAGUGGAUUUUGUUCAACUUUCUCUAUUCGGAGUGCAAGGGAAUCCUAGAUCUAUAACAAUAACAGAAACUAAGGGGGGUGAGAACCUUCUCCAGUGGAGCUCGAGCUGCCUGCUAUCUCGUGUUUCUCGAUGAAGAUCCACGCAGGGCCGGCGACGGUCGGCGCAGUGAAGACAUGGUGGCGGCGACGCAGUGGAGUGGCAGCGCCUGUGGUGCUUCCCACCGCUACAGCCCACCCUCUCUGACCGGAUUAGGGUUUUGAGGUGGGGAACAGUAGCGGCGGUGAACCUUUUGAUCCGAGCUGUCAGUCCACACCUCCUCCUUAUAAGGCUGUGUGAUGGAGGCCCACCAACCUCGUCUUGGGCUGGGCCCCCGAUCAGAGCGCGAGGUCAAGAGAUUAGUUGGCUGUUGGGCCAACUGAUGGAGAUCAACUCUAACAUUCUCCCUCUUGAUUUCAUCUUAUACUUUCAACUUUAUAUCUUUUACUCCUUUUAUAUUUCAUCACAGAUAAUGCAUAGAGCAACUUCAUCAUCACUGUCAGUUGCCGUUAGAUUCAACAGUUACAAUACAUGUCUCUGUUAUGAAACAGGUGCUUUAA